rfam:Talaromyces stipitatus ATCC 10500 scf_1105507295515 genomic scaffold, whole genome shotgun sequence.
GGUUCCAUGGUCUAGUGGUGAUGAUGUUCGACUUUGACUCGGAAGACAGGGGUUCGAUUCCCCUUGGGACCU